GCUGUGAUGGCCGAGUGGUUUAAGGCGUUGGACUCGAAAUCCAAUGGUGGUCGUCCCCGCGCAGGUUCGUACCCUGCUCAAAGCA